rnacentral:lncRNA from 1 species
UACCUGAACUGUGACUGCUAAUAAAACUCUUGAUGGAACAGUAUUCAUCUUUUGGAACAUUCUGGAAUCGUUUCACUAGAUCCCUUUGCAGGGCCAAAAUCUCAGAGUGGAUCCAUCAGAGGCAUCACCCCAUUCCUAAAUGAAACUUCAUUCCUGAAUAGAGAGCUCAGCUGAUAUGUGAAGUUUGCAACCAGCCAGGUUCUUUCGUACUAAUACCACCU